rnacentral:rRNA from 1 species
UACGAAGGGAGCUAGCGUUGCUCGGAAUCACUGGGCGUAAAGCGCACGUAGGCGGACUCUUAAGUCGGUGGUGAAAUCCUGGAGCUCAACUCCAGAACUGCCUUCGAUACUGAGAGUCUCGAGUCCGAGAGAGGUGAGUGGAACUGCGAGUGUAGAGGUGAAAUUCGUAGAUAUUCGCAAGAACACCAGUGGCGAAGGCGGCUCACUGGCUCGGUACUGACGCUGAGGUGCGAAAGCGUGGGGAGCAAACAGG